UACGGAAGGCAGCAGUGGGGAAUAUUGCACAAUGGGCGCAAGCCUGAUGCAGCCAUGCCGCGUGUAUGAAAAAGGCCUUCGGGUUGUAAAGUACUUUCAGUCGUGAGGAAGGUGUUAAGGUUAAUAACCUUAGCAAUUGACGUUAGCGACAGAAGAAGCACCGGCUAACUCCGUGCCAGCAGCCGCGGUAAUACGGAGGGUGCGAGCGUUAAUCGGAAUUACUGGGCGUAAAGGGCACGCAGGCGGUUAAUUAAGUUGGAUGUGAAAUCCCCGGGCUUAACCUGGGAAUGGCAUUCAAGACUGGUUAGCUAGAGUCUUGUAGAGGGGGUUAGAAUUCCAUGUGUAGCGGUGAAAUGCGUAGAGAUGUGGAGGAAUACCGGUGGCGAAGGCGGCCCCUGGACAAAGACUGACGCUCAUGUGCGAAAGCGUGGGGAGCAAACAGGGAUUAGAUA
rnacentral:rRNA from 1 species